CGUGAGUCUGAUCCAACACUG
rnacentral:miRNA from 1 species